rnacentral:rRNA from 1 species
GCUUGUCUCAAAGAUUAAGCCAUGCAAAGGAACGUUCAACCCCAUUUGGGGAAGACGCUGGCCGGCUCAUUAAAUCAGUCAUAGUUCAUUCGACAGAUCACUCUACAUGGAUAACCGUAGUAAUUCUAGAGCUAAUACAUGCGAAAAGACCCGACUUUUUGGAAGGGUUGUAUUUAUUAGAUACAAAACCAAUGCGGAGCAAUCCGGUUUGUGGUGAUUCAUAAUAACUUUGCGAAUCGCAUGGCCUUGCGCCGGCGAUGAAUCAUUCAAAUUUCUGCCCUAUCAACUUUCGAUGGUAAGGUAUUGGCCUACCAUGGUUACAACGGGUAACGGGGAAUUAGGGUUCGGUUCCGGAGAGGGCGCCUGAGAAAUGGCGACCACAUCCAAGGAAGGCAGCAGG